GAUCGUGCGCAGAGCAGAUCGAGGUCGAGCGCGCGCGGGGAGACGGGCAAUCUUUACCCAGCUUCGGGGCUCUCCGGAGAGAUAACACCCCUACUGCUGCUUUGUGUUUGUUAUUUGAUCUUGCUCGGGCGUGCGAGCGUAGGUGGUGCUGUGGGUGUCGAAUGGACCGAACCCCUUCUACGUGCGCAUGGGCCUCCCUUUUAUAGUCUGAAGGGGGUACCCACAGGUGGCAGCGUAGGAAGAGGGGGUAGAAAGGUAAAAACGCAGGUUGGUACAACAGUGCACAACAGUGCCCCUACCUAACUCUGACGGCAGGGGACAAGGGCAUUAAAUGCAUGUCUGGUCGCCCCAACAGUGUAAAGAAACAACCGUUAGGUGAGCCACUGGUUGCCACAAUGGCGCCUCUGUCAGCUCCAUUUGCCACCUCGCUCCGCAUGGCUGCGUAGCGCCUCGCCACGUGCCCUUGGGAUGGCCUUGUAACGACACGUCGCCGGGUGCGCUGGAGUUCGGGUGGCAGCCUUGCCGCUGCAAGUGCCUUGCCGCGGCCCUUUUCUUGUUGUGCCGGCAAGCUUGCCAGCCGCCGGGCCUUGCCGGGGCGCGCGGGGCGCCGCGGCAAGUCUUCUGGUGAUGCCCUGGUUGGCCUCCCCGGCAAGCUCCUCUUGCCGUGGCCUUCGUGUUCUUGGCUAGUACUUUGUUCUUGAAUGGCAGUACUAAAGAGUGGAGGGCCUUGCCGGGCGCCCGGCAAGCCCCGCCGCGGGGGUGCUGCGACUGCCCGUGCACAAGUUCGGGGUACUAAGGUACCCCCUACUUUAGUACACCGACAGGAGCCCCCGGGCCUGGGCCAUACACAAUGCCGAGCGUUGUUGGGCCUGGCCCAAAACAGUGCACGGGCACGCGUGGCCUGGGUCCGCACAGCAACGGGCUCCGUGUCCACCGCGCUCCUCCGCAACGGCAUGCGUCGAUUGCGGCGUCGUGGGAGACGUGGGUGGCGUGUGCGAUUUUUAAGGCAUCCACCCCCGUGAUCACGGUGCAGGGCGAGGAUGGCGAGUCGGCCCCGCUCCUCUGCCUUCUUCGCUCCCUGAUUGGCCGAGCGGGGUGGCCGAGCCCCCCCCCACCUCGCCCUUUAAAAAGGGCGGAAGGGGAGCACAAUAGCCUCGCACUUCUUCUUCUUCCUUCUUCUCCAACUCCUGCUACCCUUCCCCCAUUCUGCCAUGGAGGGGGGGAAUCCUGGCCCUUCAACGGUGGCAGCGAGGGUUGCCUCCAGGCAGCGCGCCUCUCCCUAUCCCACGCCUGCGGCGGCGGAGCCGGCCGUGAGGGGGAGAGGGAGGGGGCGAGGCCGCGGACGAGGCCGUGGUCGUGGCCAAGGCGCUCGGGGGCGAGGCGGCCGGGGCGAUGCGCCUCCCCCGUCUCCGCCGGCGGCUCCUUUCCUUGAGGCGGUACACACUGGGGACGACCCCUGGGAGUUCUUCGUCAAGCUGCGCCGAGCACCUCGUCGCCGCCUCCGGCUGCCGGCCCCGUUCGCGAGCGCGAUGGAACCGGAUCCGCCCGAGAUGAUGGAGUUGCGCAUGAGGGGCUGCGGGAUCAGCGGCACUCGGGUGAGUGUCGUAUCCCCAGCCACCGGCGUGAUGUACUUCGAUCGAGGGUGGAAGACGUUCGCCCGCAUCCACAGCUUGACGGCGGGGUUUACCCUCCAUUUUAAGUUAAUGGAGGGCGACCUUCUCGCCGUCAAGGUCUUCGGGGACUCCGGCACCCGGGUGAGAUGCUGUGUGGACAGCUCCUCCAAUAAGGUCCCUCCUCGAGCGAGAGUGACGAGGAGGGGAGCGACAGCGACAACGAGGAUGGCGGGUCCGACUAGGCAUCGGACGCUGCCUCGCGCGCCACCGGCGACCCCAUCAUCCGGGUCGCCGGCCUUCUGAACUCCCCGGGGCCGUCUCCUUGGGCGGCUGGCGUAGGGAGGCUGCGGAAGAGGAAGAGGGGUGGCGGUAAGGCCGUCAAGUCGGAGUACGAGGGCGAGGAGCCCUCGACAGCGUGCUGACGUCCCGCCGCCCCGUCUUCAAGCUCUGCCUCCGGCGCCUCCGUCUCCGCCAAGCUCCUGGCCGGCCCCCGGGAAGUUCUCUUGGUGUCUUCUGGUGCCCGUAGCUCUCCUAAGCGCCCCUUUUGCCCUCCCCGGCAAGCUUCUCUUGCCGGGGACUCCUUGACCUACCUCUUGAACAGAGAAACAGGAGGGGGAUUACGGGCACCUUAUCUUUUAAUUUGUAAGCCCUCGGGCCUUAGUUGCAUUUAAAAUCUGUAAUCCUCUCUAUCAUGUUUUUCAUCCUCUUAUGGACUUGUACUAAACUUGGAUGUUUUUAAUGAAAAGAGGGGAACGCUUGCCGGACCAAGUCCUUUACUUGAUCUUGUGCUUUGUACAUUCCCACCCUACGCUUCUAGGGGACUUGCCGGAGCGAACACACUUGCCGCGUCCGGAACGUCAGCAGCCCUCUGGCGGCGUUGCUUCCGGCAAGAAACCUUGCCGGGCCAGUUGCAGCGCGCUUGUGUUGUUGAGCGGACUCGGAAACAAAGCAAGGGCGCAACAUGGCCACGACUCGGCUCCUCCGCGCACAGGCUUCUUUUUACAAAGCACACUCGUUCAAAGACUCGGCCCCUCCUUCCCCGGUCCACAAGAGGAUGCAUGACGAGGGAUGAAAAACUUAUCUGACUCCGUAGCCCCCCGUCGACCUUAGCUUGUCGGGGAGGAACCUUGGCCUUCGCAGCCCCCGACAACUCUGGCUCCGGCAAGACCCAGGUGCUGGCCCGCCGCGAAGGAACUUUGGCACUUGCAGCCCCCAGUGAAGCUGACUUGUCGGGGCCCGCACGCCAGUGCGCCCCUUUAGCUUCUUCUUGUCGCUGUGAUUGUAGCCACGAAAAAUAACUGAGACAGUGCCGUAAUAAGCUAUGUUGUCGUUUUUUUAGUGCAACUCUGCAACGCAAUGCCAUGCUUUGCCCUUCGUAUGUUUACACUCUACGCUUCUAGGGAACUUGCCGGCGCUAACACACUUGCUGAGUGCGGAACAUCAGCAGCCCACUGGCGGUGUUGUUUCCGGCAAGAAACCUCCCCGGGCCAGUUGCAGCGCACUUGAAUUGUUGAGCGGACUCGGAAACAAAUCAAGGACGCAACUCGGCCGCGAGUCAGUUCCUCCGCGCACAAAUUUCUCAUACGAAGGUUGCCCCACGGCAAGGCUUGCUAUGUUACACCCUCUACUUUGUUGUAUCCCUCGUACGUUUUUAUCCCUACGCUUCUACGGAACUUGCCGGCGUAACACACUUGCUGAGUGCGGGACAUCAGCAGCCUGCUGGCGGUGUUGUAUCCGGCAAGAAACCUUCUCGGUCCAGUUGUAGCGCACUUGUAUUGUUGAGCGGACUCGAAAACAAAGCAAGGACGCAACUUAAUCCCGAGUUGGUUCCUCUGCGCACAGGUUUUUCAUACAAAGGAUAAACGCUCGAGGGACAUAACAUGAGGCUGUAAAACUAAAAAGUGCUCUGUACAAAAGCUCGGGUGACUUAGCUUUUCCGUCUUCAGCGAUCCGACGGGGCCGUGCUUUUCCCCCGAUUUCCGCCCCCCCUGUAUGUUUUCUUCCUCACGCUUUCGGGGAACCCUUUGGCGCAAACACACUUGCUGAGCGCAGGACAUCAGCAGCCCGCUGGCGGUGUUGCCUCCGGCGGGAAGAACUCGUCGGGCUGGUUGCGGUGUGCUUUUACCGUCGAGCGGACUCGAAGCGGAUUGAUGGCACAACCUAGCCCUGAUUCGACCCCUCUGCGCUCGGGUUCUUCAUACAAGGUAUGGACUUUCAGGGAGCACAACUCAAAAGUUCGAAGUUUGGCAGCUUUCUUUGCCUCAUUGGCCGGCAGAGCUCGAUGGCGUGUCCUCGACGGCAGCGCAGCACUCCGGAGAGGUGGGCUUGCCAGAGUGAGCGCCAGAGCCGUUCUUGCCGGGCUUAGUCUUUGGUUGGUCUGCCUUUGCCUUCUCGCACUUGUCGGUGGAGCUCGAUGGUGCGUCCUCGACGGCAGCGCGGCACUCCGGGGAGGUGUGCUUGCCGGAGUGGGCAUCAGAGCUAUCCUUGCCGGACUUAGCUUUCUUGUCGCCGUUGGCGAAGCCGAUGAGGCUGUAAAUGGUCAUCCUCCAGUCGUCGAUCUUGUGCGGCGCCGGAGGGUAAUCUAGAAGCAGCUGGGCUCGGGCCAGCGCUUCCUCUGCUGUCUUGGGUGGUGGUGGUGACGAACGGCGCGAGGAGCGAGAUGUGCUCGGACUCCCAACUGGAUUGGGAGGUGCAACACCCCGUCCGGGCGACCGUAUCUCGCUCGCGCCAGCAUGCGGGCGUGCAUGCUGACCUCGAGUGUCCCGUGACCCACCAGCUUGGCCUUGUUCCAAUGCGAGCACGGUGCUAGGAGCACCGGGGCGUUGUUGACCUUGCACCUCCUGGGAAGGGUGCGGUGUCUGCUCGGUCGCCGACGCUUGCGGGGCCUUGUUUUUGGAUCUGGUGACGACACGAGACCCACCGGCGGCGCCCGCUCAUCCGCCGGCGUCCACUCCACCGCCUGUUUGCUCCAGCGGUGGUGGCAGAAUCGAUGUAGAUGGAGCAGCCACCUCCGAAGGCUUCUUCUUCGGUGGCAUGUUGACGAUGAUGUUGUUGUAGCGCGCGUGGAGACCGGAUCAGGUGCUCACGACCUCGACGCCCCCCUACCUGGCGCGCCAAAGAUGUCGGGGCGUGUCUCUAUGGCCUCGAGCACCUAUGGGGCACUGGGGGCCCCUUCUGGUUCGGCAAGGGAGCGGGGAUCGUGCGCAGAGCAGAUCGAGGUCGAGCGCGCGCGGGGAGACGGGCAAUCUUUACCCAGCUUCGGGGCUCUCCGGAGAGAUAACACCCCUACUGCUGCUUUGUGUUUGUUAUUUGAUCUUGCUCGGGCGUGCGAGCGUAUGGUGGUGCUGUGGGUGUCGAAUGGACCGAACCCCUUCUACGUGCGCAUGGGCCUCCCUUUUAUAGUCUGAAGGGGGUACCCACAGGUGGCAGCGUAUGAAGAGGGGGUAGAAAGGUAAAAACGCAGGUUGGUACAACAGUGCACAACAGUGCCCCUACCUAACUCUGACGGCAGGGGACAAGGGCAUUAAAUGCCCGUCUAGUCGCCCCAACAGUGUAAAGAAACGACCGUUAGGUGAGCCAC
rnacentral:lncRNA from 1 species